rnacentral:rRNA from 1 species
GCCCAGACUCCUACGGGAGGCAGCAGUGAGGAAUAUUGGGCAAUGGAGGCAACUCUGACCCAGCCAUGCCGCGUGAGUGAAGAAGGUUUUCGGAUUGUAAAGCUCUUUCGGAUGUGACGAUGAUGACGGUAGCAUCUAAAGAAGCCCCGGCUAACUUCGUGCCAGCAGCCGCGGUAAUACGUAGGUGGCAAGCGUUAUCCGGAUUUACUGGGUGUAAAGGGCGUGUAGGCGGGAGAGCAAGUCAGACGUGAAAUUCCAGGGCUCAACCCUGGAACUGCGUUUGAAACUGUUCUUCUUGAGUGAUGGAGAGGCAGGCGGAAUUCCGUGUGUAGCGGUGAAAUGCGUAGAUAUACGGAGGAACACCAGUGGCGAAGGCGGCCUGCUGGACAUUAACUGACGCUGAGGCGCGAAAGCGUGGGGAGCAAACAGGAUUAGAUACCCCUGUA